GUGACUCUUCUGUUGAUGGGAGCUAUUCAUUCCCUCUAAUGUUUGAUAAAUUGUAAGAAGUGAACCAGGAAGGCUCUGAAUGGACAGAUUGUGAGAUUAGAAAUGCUAUCAACUUAAUUUAUGAAAAUCUACACAAGCUGGAUUCUUACUUGAAUGGGAGACAUCCUGGAAGAUCCAGCAAAGGAGCCAAACAAGGAUAUGUACAUGAUGACUAUUGAGCCAGAAGAUGCACCCAACCAACCUGAAGACCGAGAGGAUUGAAGGCCAUGGGAAGUAGCAUGGAGAGCAAUUCAGAAUGACGGUGAAGGAUAGAUGGAGGUUGGGUGUUUUGGUUCACUUUCUUCUUAUUUUUUGUGUUAAAAUCCUUUGGAUUUUUAUUUCUCUUCUUUUUUCUUUUUUUCCUCUGAUAUGACUGGGGGUUUGAGUGUUUUGGUUUACUUUCUUAUUUUUUGUGUUAAAUGAGGGAGUGGUGAGAGAGAGAAGAGGGUAAUGUUAUUUUGUGACUUUGUAUAUAAGGUAAUAAUUUUUUGAUUGAGAAUUGUGAAUUCAAUUUUUGGA